ACGGGGUGCAGCAGGCGCGAAACCUCUGCAAUGCGCGAAAGCGUGACAGGGGAACUCCGCGUGCAUGCGUUUGCAUGCUUUUCUUAAGUUUAAAAUGCUUGGGGAAUAAGGGCUGGGUAAGACCCGUGCCAGCCGCCGCGGUAAUACGGGCAGCUCUAGUGGUGUUCACGUAUAUUGGGCCUAAAGCGUACGUAGCCGGUCCUGUAAGUCUUUGGUGAAAUCUUACGGCUUAACCGUGAGAAUGGCCAAAGAUACUGCGAGACUUGGAGCCGGGAGGGGUCAGGGGAACUCUAGGGGUAGGAGUAAAAUCCUGUAAUCCUUAGAAGACCAUCGGUGGCGAAGGCGCCUGACUGGAACGGGCUCGACGGUGAGGUACGAAAGCUAGGGUAGCGACGCGGAUUAGAUACCCGCUUAGUCCUAGCCGUAAAUGAUGCUGGUUUGGUGUAGCGCAACUUACGAGGUUCCGCUGCGCCGUAGGGAAGCCGUAAACCAGCCGCCUGGAAGUACGCCGCAAG
rnacentral:rRNA from 1 species